UACGUAGGAUGCGAGCGUUGUCCGGAAUUAUUGGGCGUAAAGAGAACGUAGGCGGUUUGUUAAGUUUGGGCUUAAAGACUGGGGCUCAACCCCAGGAGUGGCUCGAAAACUGACAGACUAGAGGAUGGCAGAGGAAAGUGGAAUUCCCAGUGUAGCGGUGAAAUGCGUAGAUAUUGGGAGGAACACCAGUGGCGAAAGCGACUUUCUGGGCCAUUCCUGACGCUGAGGUUCGAAAGCGCGGGGAGCAAACAGG
rnacentral:rRNA from 1 species